rnacentral:rRNA from 1 species
UCCACGCCCUAAACGAUGAACACAGCCGUUGGGCCUAUUUAUAGACUUAGUGGCGGAGCUAACGUAUUAAGUUGACCGCCUGGGGAGUACGGCCGCAAGGUUAAAACUCAAAGGAAUUGACGGGGGCCCGCACCCGUUAUAUUUUCGGCGCAGAAUCACUAGUAAUCGUAGAUCAGCUAUGCUACGGUGAAUACGUUCCCGGGUCUUGUACACACCGCCCGUUG